GGGCGUCGCAAACUUGACUUGGGUCAAUGGGCGCCGACGGUCCUCUGGCAAUCUGCGAUCAACCAGCACGUGGUGAGGAGCCCGGACAUGUUUAUCGAUGAAGUGGUAUUGGCAGGCGUACUUAUCGUCGGACUCUGCGUCGUCUUCUGCGCCGGGUUCGCCUAUUUCAUCUGGAAGGACUCGAAGAAAACCAAGAGCAACUGAUCCUUCCUGAUCAAAGAGCACGCAAGGCAUUUUGGGCGACUUCGGUCGCCCAUU
rnacentral:sRNA from 1 species